rnacentral:rRNA from 1 species
UACGUAGGGGGCAAGCGUUGUCCGGAAUUAUUGGGCGUAAAGAGCGUGUAGGCGGUCCGGUAAGUCGGCUGUGAAAGUCCAGGGCUCAACCCUGGGAUGCCGGUCGAUACUGCCGGACUAGAGUUCGGAAGAGGCGAGUGGAAUUCCCGGUGUAGCGGUGAAAUGCGCAGAUAUCGGGAGGAACACCUAUGGCGAAGGCAGCUCGCUGGGACGUUACUGACGCUGAGACGCGAAAGCGUGGGAAGCAAACAGG